rnacentral:rRNA from 1 species
UACGGAGGAUCCAAGCGUUAUCCGGAUUUAUUGGGUUUAAAGGGUGCGUAGGCGGCCUAUUAAGUCAGGGGUGAAAGACGGUGGCUCAACCAUCGCAGUGUCCUUGAUACUGAUGGGCUUGAUUACACUUGAGGUAGGCGGAAUGUGACAAGUAGCGGUGAAAUGCAUAGAUAUGUCACAGAACACCAAUUGCGAAGGCAGCUUACUAAGGUGUUAAUGACGCUGAGGCACGAAAGCGUGGGGAUCAAACAGG